CCUAACUCCCAAUGUGAUGAUGGUAUUUGGAGGUGGGGCCUUGGGAUAUAAUUAGGGUUAUAUAAGCUCCUGAGGGUGGGGCUUCCAUGAUGAGGUUAGUACCCUUUUCAGAAGCGAUACCAAAGAGGUCUUUCUCUGCCAUGUGAGGACACAGCAAGAAGGCGGCCAUCUGCAAGCCAGGGAAAGAGUUCUCACCAGGAGCCAAAUCAGCAGACACUUUGAUCUUGGACUUCCAGUCUCCAGAACUGUGCCGGUCACCAAGUCAGCCUCAAUCUUUCCAACAGAAUCGUAGAACUCCCCUCAGUCUGGAUAAGGACAUCGAGGAAGCUAUCACUCUCCUCUUUUCUAAUUGGAUGCCUCUCUCCUCCUGCUCCAAUCUGGACUGGCUGCUCUCUCCGGUGGCAUAGCUGUCAUCCAAGAUUUCUCUCCACCACCUGAAGCUGCUGUCUCCUGGAUCCCAUGUCUCCUGUCUUCAUGGUUUUCUCCCUUGUCUCGGUAGAAGAACUCAUGUGGUAGCUUUCUGGGUACACAAGAGAUAACACUUUGGAGAUCAUUUAUUUCUGAAAAUGCCUUUAUUCCACCUUCAUCUUUGAUUGAUCGUUUGGAUAUGGAAUCAAGAUUGUACCAAACAAAUCCCAGAAUUCUCUGAGGGCUUGUUUCUUGGGAUCACUCCUGGUACUAAUUCCUAUAUCAGCCAGGAUUCAGUUGGAAAACAGAAAUCACAUUACUUAUUUUAAAGAGGGAAUUUAAUAUACAGAAGGUUAAAUGGGUGUUGGAGAACUGAAGAGGGAAAGGAGAUACGAAGGUAACACAAAGACAAUAACUGUGGGAAGCAGCUAGCAUAUGGGCAACAAGGGAAGGAGCUGGGAUCCUUCGAACCCUGAAGCUUGAAGCAGGAGCUCCAUGGUGCUAAGAUCCAGCCCUCAGGAGAAGAGGUGUUGCAGCCAGUGCUGAGAUCUCUGAGAGGUCACUGAAGCUUACAGACGUUAAAUAACGUACCCCCAGUCAUCAUGCAAUGACUUCUAUCUGUGGGAUUCUUUCCACUAUACCAUGAACGAAAAGGGGAGGAUUUGAGGGUGACAAGGUUGGGAGGGAGGGGCUUCUCUGUGUCCUUGAAUCAAUUGUGAGAGGCUGACCUCUACUGGAUCGUACAGCACUUGAACACCAAAAGGAAGAAAUAGUUUUCCUAGCCUCAAAUGAUUUUUUCUCACAUUUUGGAGAGGAAUCUGUUUAAAAGGUAUGCCAAGUGCCUACUACUUAGAAAAUACUGGACUAAAUGCCAAGGUAAAGCAAAUAGAAAUUGAUUGGACUGUGUAAGUCACAGCAGGGAUGAAAGGCACACCUCCUACGCCCAGUGUGCUCAGCUUCACCAGGGAGGUAUCUCCAAAUAGCACAAGUUCUCUUCCAGAGGAACCGGAAGACCCAGGUCUUGAAAGAAGCAGCCCUUCUCUGGGUUUACACUCCUCAUAUUGUAUCCCAUGUUUUAUAAUAUGCACAUCUGCAUUGCGUCAUUAUUUUUGUCCCAUUGUCCAUUUGUUUUGUGCAACAUUGGUUCUUUAAGCAGCCAUGUUCACUGAGACUCACAUAAAAUGGGUCUGAGAUGUAGAGAACUGCCUCUUAUGAAUGUUUUAUUUACUUAUCUAUCAUUCUUAUCAGUGGCCUUCUCCCCUGUCUCUGGUUACCUUUUUCACUUAGCUAGCCAACUGAGAAUUAGAUGAAGGAUGGAAAUAGAUUGGCAGUUUGCCUUCAGCUGCUAGACAAGGGUUCUUUCUUUCUGUGGUUUAGUUUCACAAAGGGUUUUGUAGGCAUUGGAAGUUUUGGUACAAAGCAGCGCGGCCUAAAGGCUGCAGCCCAGAAGGGCGAGCGAGGAGGUCAGUGUCCUUGUCUUCAUGCUGCCAGCUUUGGAUGUGAUGAAGUCACUUAUAUCUCUUGUUGCCCCUUUUUUGUAUUUAGAAAAUUAUUUUGAAUUAUAGUAGAUUAUUAUGAUUUUACAUUUUAUUUGAAAAUAAGUUCUAACUUGAGAAUGUGUCUACUGGAGCUGUAAGCGCACAGCCUGGAUGGCAUCAUCUGGCAGCUCACAAUCAUGUACAAAAUCAUUCUGCAUAUAAAAGAAGCAAUUUGCCAUUAAUUUAUAAUGUUUUUAUUGUGCUUUUCUUAUUGCAAAAGUAUUUCAUGCAGAAAAUUUGAAAAAUACUGAUAAGCAACAAAUAAAUAUAUAAAAACCACUUGAAUCUUGCCACCUAAAGAUAUCCACUGAUAACAUGUUAUAUUAUUCUUUAGGCUUUUUAAAUGCAUAUUUUCACAUAGGCAGUAUUAUGCUGUUUACAAUGUUUUUUGAACUUCUUUUUCUCUCAAUAAUAUGUCUGAAUAUUUUUCCGUGUCAUACAAUCUUCUAGAAUAUCAUAUUUCAUGGUUGUGUAGUAUUUUGUCAUGUAGAUAUAUCAUAAUUUAUUUGACUGUACCUUUUUUUAGGGACAUUUAAUUUAUAUCCAACAUUUUAUCAUUUUAAAUACUUCUGUCCUAAAAAUCUUUGUUGCUAAGUCUUUGUGCGUAAUCAUACUUUAUUCUUUAGGAUCAAAGUCUAAGGGUACAAAAAAUUUAAGGGUUUUGAUAUUUGUUGCCCACUUGACCCCAAGAAAGUUGUCUCAACGUAUACUUCUGUGCAUUGAAUCGCCCCUGGGACAAUAGCAGAUGAUAGAUUAUUUUAAUGUUUUGCCAAUCUGAUAGAUUAAAAGUGUCACAUAUGUAUUUAAAUUUCCUUGAUUAUUGACAUUGAACAAUUUUUGGACUUUUACAAUAUACUUACCGAUUUUUUUUAUCUAUAAAAGCUCUUUAUUUUAAUUUGUAUGUAUUUACAUAUUUAAGUGUCUAAAGCUCUGGAGACAAACUGCCUGGGUCGAGCCCGAGCUCUGUCGGGUUUGGUUGUGCUUACAAAGGCCUACCCCCAAGACUACAGGAAAGUUAACUUCUAUUUUUUUCAGGUGCUUUUAAGUCCGAUUUUCUACAUUUCUACAUUUAAAAACCUACGAUAGUGGCCGUGCUGGUUAUUCUCCCCUUUUCCCUCCAGAUCCGCUUCCUAUCCUUUCCAGCUGCUCUGUGCCAUAAGAGACUGAGGAACGGACUGCCUCAAUGGGCUGACCUGCCUUCUGGCUUUUGGUUGGGUCCAGGCAAUGGCUAGCAGUGAAAGGAAAGGCGGAGAGUGGACUAUUAGACUAUACAGAGCGUCAUGUGCUGGGCUGGAGAGUUCGGAAUUAAUUCUAUACCUAGAGGGAGACUGAGAGGGAUUUGACGUAGGGGAGGAAGAUCAAAGAUCAAAGUGCAAAGUAGGACAGUGAAUUUGAUGGCCCUGGGAAGCCUUGAGGAAGGCUGAAGACAGGAAGCCCCAUGGGGACUGCUGAGGUUGCAGCUAUGACGCUGAACUGGCAGAUGUUGACUGUGAGUGAGGAAAAUAAUAGAGACCUGAUUUAAGACACAUUUCCAAAGAAAAUGAACUGGUCUUCGGGGUGAAUAUUUUAAGUGUAAGGAAAUGAGUAGUGACACUACUGUGGUAUCAUUUCUAGCCCUGGCGAUUGCCUUUCUUGAGUGACAUCCCUCAUGGAACUUUGCAGGGGGAUCCCACUUGGCAGCUGGUAAAGAGAACAACCCCCUGCGUCAUCAUAUUACUAAAGCCACACAAUAUUUCUGCCCUUUCUCUUUUCUCUGGUUUCCAGGCCUUGGAAUAUUAUAAUUUCUUGAAAAGUUAUACUUAAAAUAACAACGACUAACUUCAUUGAGUACCACUCCCCCUCCUUUUUUUCUUAGUACUUACAUAUUAUCUCAUUUAAUAUUCUUGUUCCUAGUUAGCCUAAAUGUUAUUGCCUCAUUUUCAACUGAAAAUGCUAGUUGGGAGGGAGCAUGGAAUAGUGAAGAGCACGGGCAGGGGUCAAGCAGAGCUGGUUCCAAGCAAAAUGGGGCAGCUCUGUAUGUAUUUCCUCCUAGAGAUUCCCUAGCCUGCUCAUGUGUUGUCCUUUGGUAACUUCCUUAUCCCCUAAAUACUUUCCUUGAAAAUCUGAUUUCAUCUGGGUAAAGUAUAUGAGAAGGUAGGAAGGAGGGAGAAUUUAAUUACUUUGAGAGAGAUGGUGGAUUUGGCUGUCUUUACUGUUGGUGUUACUUUCUCUUAGGCAUUUUUCAAAAUAAGAAUUUUGGUCUAAUAAUUUAGCAAUGGUGAUUGUGUUGACUGUUCACAAUGGAAGAGACUUCAGGUACUAUAUAAUCCAAUCUCUUCAUUUUGCCCACAAGGACACCAAAAUUCAGAUGCCCCUCUCUAUCCCCUUGGUCUGUUCAACACCGGAAGUCUUUUGGCUUCCAUUAAAUCUAUUGGUGCCUGGUAAAAGGUGACAACCCUCAUCAUGAGCCCCGGGGCACUCCUCCAGCCCGCUGGUGAUUUCUGCAUGUUGACAGCACCUAUUCAGAUUUUAUAUUUGCUUUGUUGGGUGUUGAUUUUGAUGAGGACUAGAACCUGCUGGAGGCUACGUAGGGCGCAAAGAUGAGCGCAAGUGAUCUUUGCUCAGUGGGUUCAAUAGGCGAAAUGGAGGAAGUACAGCUGUGACCUGUGGGACAACAAGGCAUGAUUUUAUCUGGAAAGGUCUCCACAAGUAGCAGAAAUUCGGCAGGAUUAACCCAUUUUCAGUAGAAAAUGCUUUCAGGACAGGAAUGCUAUUCACUUUUCCUUGGUUUUAGAUUUUCCUCUUUGUCUUUUUCUCCAUUCUCCAAGUUUUCUGUCAUGAACGUCUUACCUUGGUCUUCAGAGAAAUUUAUUUUAUAUGUAUUUAUCUGUAUCUAUAUCAUAAUUUCUAAAAGAAAUAAAAUGCCUGGAGGAAGCAGCUCUGAAAACUCUGUGGGGAAUUUUGUGGGGAAGAUUGUAAGGGAAGCCCUGAACAACAUUUCCUAAAGUGCUCAGUGGGAAGCGAUCUUGGAAAAACCCUUCCUUGGCCAAAUACACUUGGAGUGAUGUGCUCCAGCCCCUUCUUGGACACUUAUAAUGCCCAUUAAGGGCUCUGGAACUUUCUGCAGGAAAAUAAAAUAAAACAAAACAUAAAAUUUUGUCUUAAUUCUUUUAAGUCAGUGUUUCUAAACAUAUUUGAUUUGAGACUACUUUUUGUGUCUGAACAUUCCAACAAGACCAGUAUUUUGUGAAACAUACUUUGGGAGAGUGCCCUAAAACGAGUUCCACAGAAACUCUGUUGCAGCCCUCGGGUCUCAGGAUAAACCUUCUAGAGCCUGCGGCAAACGAAACAGUGAUGUCUCUUCUCUCCUCUAUUGGUGUCCAGGUGAACACCACUUAAAGUGAACAUUAGAGCCUGGCUUUAAGUGGAAAAGAAGUCCCAAAACCCUGCAACGUGGAGUAGAAGAGGAGGUGUCUUAAUGGGGGAGGCCAGACUUAUGGCCUCUUGGCUGGGGCUGCACUUACAUUAGUGUAGCUGGGAGGGCCUCUUCGCUUCUUGGCAGACUUCCCAGGUUGCUGAUCCGGAGGCUGGCUGCGGCUGCUCCCCCAGCCAGGAGGGGGCACCUCUCUUCUCUACUGGAGGUGCAGAGAGAUGAAAUCUGCAUGUGCUCUGAGUCCAUGCACACGCAGCAUGUGUACAGCACUCUUCAGGGCACCCUGGGACCACUAAAGGAGACAGUCUCACUCUUACCUUACUGAGCUAACAAUCUAGUUGAGGAGAUAAGGCACAUACACAUGGAAUGUCAGAAAAUGUAAGGUGACGAUUGUGGACUUUGUCAUGUGAUAUAGAUUUUAAGGAAUUGCAUGCAUUUAGAGGAGAAGAGGGCAUCAGUCAGCCUGGGGUGAUCAGGAAAGCCUUAGCUAUAGUAUGGGAGGUAGGGCCGGAGGAAUGAAUAGAAUUUGAAAAGAUAGGGACCAGAGGGGAAGGCAGUCAUGCGGGGGAAAGGCCUGAAAGAAACACAUGAUUUGUUCAGGGACUGCAUUGCCAAGUCCCUUUAGGAAGCCUCAGGCCACUCUGAAAGGUGCCACACUCAGCAGGAUUUUUCAGCAUUGUAGACCUAGGCAUCUCCUCCAUGAGUUCUCCACUAGCUACCCUUGUCUCUGGUAUGGCGGCCAUCGUUGAGUAGCCCGUCCAUUAUGCUCAGUUACUGGCUUGCUCUUAUGUCCUAUGGGUACAUCGUGUUUCCUAGUUAGGCCUGUGAGCUAACAUGGCAGGCAUGAGCACAACAGUCUUAUUCUCUGCUUCCCCUUCCUUGCCUACCCAUCUACCCUAAGCAUGUCACCCAGUGCUUGGCAUAGCUCAUGUAUUCAGUAAAUGUCUGUUGAUGGAUCCGUUGGAUUCUGAAUAAAACUUUUGCUUAGGUGUACGUCUAUGACCUCAUUAUGUCAUCAGUGAGUGUUAGUGUCCCCAUUUCAUUAGGCGUAGAAAAGGAGGACGGAGGACCAACACACUCCGAUGUUGCGUAACCUCAGGUAGUUAUAGGGCUUAGUCUAAAAUCUAAUUCUCUUUUCAGGCUUAAGAGUCCUUUGUUUGCGCAACUCAGUGUAACUGUAAACAUUUGCUGAGUCCUGUCCUCAGUCUAGUUUGAGGGGUGUGUGUGUGUGUGUGUGUGUGUUUAUAGAGGCGGGAGGGGAAGAGGAAGGAGAAACUGCAAAGACGAUUGGGAUGUAGUUCUACCCUCAAGAAGCUUACAUUCUAGUAAAAGAACCAGGGAGAGCACUCUCACCUGUAAAGGAGUUGGAGGCCAGCUUUUCGGGGUGUAGGGUAUGAGGGGACAAUUCAGUUCCUUGCAGAUUGUCACAUAUUGUUCAAGAAAGAUGAGUUGGGGUCUCUUCUGUCGCCGUUUUUCUUGUUGAUCCUGACUACCCUGCCAGCCACCUCGGGGGGUUGUUCCGCCUCCCCUCCUGCCCUGGGGCAAUGACUGGCAGUUUCCCCAGCUGUUUGGCAAUUCCAGAGCAAGCCCUGUAGCUCCAGGCACAGUCCACCAGAUGGUGCAAAACAAAUGAAACACCCGUCAUUGUGGGCUAUCCAGCUUAUCAAACCCGAAAUUGGACAGCUGAGGGGAGGACUUUCUGGGAAUUUUCCACUUCUGAGUUCAGCCAGAAAGGAAUGAAAAUGUACCCUGGAGACUUGAAUAGAAGGUUUGAAGUAGCUUUAGGGAUUAAAACCCUGUGCAUGUGUGUGUGUAAAGAGGUCUUAUACAUAGGCAGAAAGGAGGCGCUCGCCUCCACAUAGUCUGGGCAACCUCCUGCCCUCAUCCCAAACGCUCUUCUACCUCUCGGCUCAGGGCUAAGCUUCCACUCCAAAAAAUUGUAAAGGACUUCAGGUGUUAAUACCCUAGGGAGAAGUAAUGAUGUCUUGUGUUUGUUUAGAGCCUUGCAUGUACCUUCAGACCUAUUAUUUCAUUAGAACUUCAUAACAACCCUGUGAAGCAGGUGAUGUUGUUAUAGUCAUUUUAAAGAUGAGGAAACCGAGGGUCAGAGACAGUCAGAGAGUCCCAAGGUUAUACACCCGGGGCAGUGAGCUGCUGGAUCAAAACGAGAUCUUCAAGUGUUGAAUCUCUUUCUCUUUUCACUCCACUAGGCUGAAUUCUCUGUUUUAAUGAUUAGAAUCCAAAUUUUUAAAAAGUAGAUGGUGAGGGUGAGAAGAAGGAGAAAAGUGGAGGGAGCUGAGCUCUUGAUAGAGGAGAGAAAGGGCAGUGUAAGGCAGGACUUGGAGCUCACAGGCAAAAUGUGCUUCUCCAGGUCCUCUUGGAGUGAUUUUGUGUGUGUGUGUGUGUGAGAGAGAGAGAGGGAAAGAGAGGCAUACUCAUGCAUACUGGAGCACAGAGUGAACAUUACCUCAUGUGGAUACCUUUUUAUUCAACUUGCUUGCACUGGACUCCUACCGUAGCAGUGAGAUAUACUAGAAAAUCAAGUUUUAAACAGGAAAAAAUAGAAAAUAAACAGAUGAAAGCGCCUUCCUUGUUAAAUCAAGGUUGUACCAAUACCCCAAGAUGGUACAGUGCUGGGCCCAGGAAACAUGGUUUCCCUGGCCUUUCCUGUCUCCUCUCCAAGCUGUCUACCCACUUCGCCUCUUGGUGUCCACAGAAUCAGCCUGGGGUGAGCCCAUUGUCACAUGCUCUGCACCUCUCAUUCUGGCCUUCCCUUCGGCGGAACCUGAGAGAGCGUCCCAGCCCUCAGAGCCUGCCAAGUGACCAACAGAUCCUUUUGAAUCAUCUAUACUAAAUACAUUAGCAAAUGGUAAUGUUUUAAUGUGUAGCUCCUUCUAAGAACACAGAAGCUAAGAUUUUAUUUUAUUCAAAACUUUAUACACAAUUUAAAACAAAGCAAUAUGGAGGUUUCAGGCACUGAUGUUGGUCAGGUCUUCAAGCUUCCCCAAGACCUCUCAGAACCCUGCACACCUCACCAGCUGUCUGCACAGCUGGCCGUGGAGUCAGCCCUGCAGUCUGCCCGUUGAGAUGUUUUCUGGUGGGGGUCGUAUCUAACCAGGCAAAGUCAUUCCUAUCUUCUUCCUUCUUUCUCAUUUUAGUGCCCUGGGCUAGCUGAGACUCCCAGGACAUCCAACCUCGAUUAUCGCACUAAUCUUCUUAUUGUCCCUUUCUCUCCAGCCUCCCUGUAUUCUCAUCCUAGAGGUGGCUGACAGAAAAUUUUUUAUAAAACUCAAAUUGGACCAUUUUGCUUUCCUUCCUAGAAAUCUUAAAAUGUUCCCCUAUUUCUCUUUUUUUAAACAACAGCUUUAUUGAAGUAUAGUUCACAUGCCAUAAAGUUUGCCCAUUUAAAUUGCACAAUUCAAUGUUUUUUAGUAUAUUCACAGAGUUCUGCAGCCGUCACCACUGUAGGGACUAAACUGUGUGCCCCUAAAACUCAUAUGUUGAAGUUCUAACCCCAGUACGUCAGAAUACGACUGUAUUUGGAGACAGGGCCUUUAAGCUAAUUAGAUAAAAUGAGUUCAUAUGGAUGAACCAUAUCCAGAAUGACCGGCGUCCUUAUGGGAAGAGGAAAUUAGACACAGACAACCCACAGACUGAGGGGCUAACACAUCAGGGCACAGAGGCCAAGGAGAGAGGCCUCAGAAGAAACCAAACUUGCUGACACCCUGAUCUUGGGCCUCCAGCCUCCAGAACUGCGAGAAAAUCAAUUCCUGUUGUUUAAGCCCCUCAGUCUGUGGCUUUUGUUAUGGCAGCCAUAGCACACUAAUAGAAGCACAAUUUAAUUUUAGAACAUUUUCAUCAUCCCAAAAAGGAAAUGCGUACCCAUUUUAGUCAUUUCCCACUUCUCUCCACUUCUCUUAGGCCUAGGUAAUCACUACCUACUUUCUGUCCUAUGGGUUUGUCUAUUCUGGACAUUUCAUAUAAAUAAAACCAUACAAUAUGUCUUUGUUUAAACUGACUUCUUUCUCUUUGCGUAAUGUUUUCAAGGUUCAUCCAUGCAUAGGAUGUAUCUAUAAUUCGUUUCCUUUUAUUGCAGAAUGCUGUGGACAUACCACACUUUAUCUAUCCACUCAUCAGUUGAUGGGCAUUUGGGUUGUUUCCACUUUUUGGCUACGAAUAAAUCUGCUAAGAACAUUCAUGUACACGUUUUUUUUGUGUGGACAUAUGUUUUUAUUUUUCUUGUGAUUUUACCUUGGAGUAGAAAUGCUGGGUCAUAUGGUAACUUUAUGUCUAAUGUUUUGAGGAACUGCCAAGCUGUUUUCUAAAGUGGCUGUGCCAUUUUAUACUUUUAUCAGCCAUGGAUGAGGUUUCCAAUUUCUCCACAUUCUUGACAAUACUUGUUACAGAUUGUCUUUUUGAUAAGAGUUAUCCUUGUGGGUGUCAAGUGAUAUCUCUUGGGGUUUUGAUUUACAUUUGUCUAAUGGCUAAUUUUUGUUUUGAAUAUCUUUUCAUAUGCUUAUUGGCC
ensembl:lncRNA